GGGUUGUGAGGUUAAGCGACUAAGCGUACACGGUGGAUGCCCUGGCAGUCAGAGGCGAUGAAGGGCGUGCUAAUCUGCGAUAAGCGCCGGUAAGGUGAUAUGAACCGUUAUAACCGGCGAUACCCGAAUGGGGAAACCCAGUGUGACUCGUCACACUAUCAUUAACUGAAUCCAUAGGUUAAUGAGGCGAACCGGGGGAACUGAAACAUCUAAGUACCCCGAGGAAAAGAAAUCAACCGAGAUUCCCCCAGUAGCGGCGAGCGAACGGGGAGGAGCCCAGAGCCUGAAUCAGCAUGUGUGUUAGUGGAAGCGUCUGGAAAGGCGCGCGAUACAGGGUGACAGCCCCGUACACAAAAGCGUAUGUGCUGUGAGCUCGAUGAGUAGGGCGGGACACGUGGUAUCCUGUCUGAAUAUGGGGGGACCAUCCUCCAAGGCUAAAUACUCCUGACUGACCGAUAGUGAACCAGUACCGUGAGGGAAAGGCGAAAAGAACCCCGGCGAGGGGAGUGAAAAAGAACCUGAAACCGUGUACGUACAAGCAGUGGGAGCCCCACCACUAAGCCAGUGGUGAACUCCACAUACGCAUCCUUUGCUGAGGAUACGGUUAACGGAGCGAAAGCGACGUUCAACCGCAAAAGAAGCAGAGGGGGCUUAGUGGUGGGGUGACUGCGUACCUUUUGUAUAAUGGGUCAGCGACUUAUAUUCUGUAGCAAGGUUAACCGAAUAGGGGAGCCGGAGGGAAACCGAGUCUUAACCGGGCGUUAAGUUGCAGGGUAUAGACCCGAAACCCGGUGAUCUAGCCAUGGGCAGGUUGAAGGUUGGGUAACACUAACUGGAGGACCGAACCGACUAAUGUUGAAAAAUUAGCGGAUGACCUGUGGCUGGGGGUGAAAGGCCAAUCAAACCGGGAGAUAGCUGGUUCUCCCCGAAAGCUAUUUAGGUAGCGCCUCGUGAAUUCAUCUCCGGGGGUAGAGCACUGUUUCGGCUAGGGGGCCAUCCCGGCUUACCAACCCGAUGCAAACUGCGAAUACCGGAGAAUGUUAUCACGGGAGACACACGGCGGGUGCUAACGUCCGUCGUGAAGAGGGAAACAACCCAGACCGCCAGCUAAGGUCCCAAAGUCAUGGUUAAGUGGGAAACGAUGUGGGAAGGCCCAGACAGCCAGGAUGUUGGCUUAGAAGCAGCCAUCAUUUAAAGAAAGCGUAAUAGCUCACUGGUCGAGUCGGCCUGCGCGGAAGAUGUAACGGGGCUAAACCAUGCACCGAAGCUGCGGCAGCGA
rnacentral:rRNA from 2 species